CAGCAGCCGCGGUAAUACGUAGGUCCCGAGCGUUGUCCGGAUUUAUUGGGCAUAAAGCGAGCGCAGGCGGUUAGAUAAGUCUGAAGCUAAAGGCUGUGGCUUAACCAUAGUACGCUUUGGAAACUGUUUAACUUGAGUGCAAGAGGGGAGAGUGGAAUUCCAUGUGUAGCGGUGAAAUGCGUAGAUAUAUGGAGGAACACCGGUGGCGAAAGCGGCUCUCUGGCUUGUAACUGACGCUGAGGCUCGAAAGCGUGGGGAGCAAACAGGAUUAGAUACCCCCGUAGUCCCUGUCUCUUAUACA
rnacentral:rRNA from 1 species